AUCUCUGAAAAUUCGGAAAAUUGAAUUUGGCAUCCCUGCUCGGAAAACGCAAACAAAAACAGCUGUGCGAAUUAAAUGCAGCUCGGGAGUACACUGUAAACUCGACAAUACUCUUUAAAGAGUAAAAAUCACCCCUUUUUUGACGAUAUAUGGAACUGUCAAAAUAAUGGGUGAUUAUUUAUUUUACAUAAUGAAUAUUUUAUGCCCAUUUUCAAGAUCCACGCUGAUACUCUUUAAUGAGUGAAAAACAAAAUAUACUUCCACACGCACAGUUCCCCGUCGUGAAUGGUAAGGCUGAUUCAGGAGCUGGAGGAGCCUUCAUUUAAAUGAACAGAAUACCAUCAGAAGCCUCGGACUGCGGCGAAUAAUUGAUGCAGUUCAUCACGAAGGGAUGCGAGGUUAUGCUGCUACACUUCAGCCAUUUGAGCUCAUCCGACAUCACAGAGAAGUCGGACUUUGCGAAGGCCCUAAAACAUUCCAGCGGAGAUAUCGUAUGUAUUUACGAAGAAUCUACUCGAUAAGUGUUCCUGUUCUCGUUCCUGUCCCUGUUCCUGACGAUCGGGAACACACAGCCAGAGACGGUUGGCUUUAUGCCAAGGAAGUCGUCGAUUCCGGGAACGGUUUCAGGAGCAGCUGCUGUGUCUAUUGUGUCCCUGCUUUGUCCACUUGUUUCCCGUCAUCCGUUCGGCGGGUUGCUUAAUACCAUGGCAUGUGAUCCGGUAAAGCAGAAAGGCGAGAAAAACACAAGUUGCAGUUAUUUCCCUUCAUAUAAUCAGCAAAAAUAACAUGAUGUGUAUCUAUUAUUGUAUGUUAAUUAAAUAAAGAUUC